CUCAAUAACUUGACAAAGGCAAAGUUAUUUUGUAAGAAAAGAAAUAGGCUUAAUUUUCGAAAACAAAAAACGAAAUGAUGAUCAAACGUGCCUUAAUGACAUUAAAUCAAACAUUCCUCCAAAACCCAUUACUCUCUUCUGAUUUGUCUGGAAUUAACAGGAUGGGAAAUCUUGGCAAGCACAUUAAAAGGGAAAUUGUCUUUUCCUCUCUCUUUUCUCUCUCUCUCUGACUUUCAUUUUCCCACAUCAAAUCACCCCCGCUUAAUAUUUUUUCUCCUGGCUUUAUUGAGUUGCAGGCAAAUUUAGAUGGAGAAGGACAAUGGUAGCCACAAGAUGAAUGUAAAAUGAAGAAAUUGAGGAAAGUUGCAGCAGAAGAAGCCAAAAUGGAAGGGGACCCAAGUUGGUUUUUUUCUCUUUAAGCAGUUGGUAGUUAAAAAGUGUGGGUCGGUCUGAUUCUUUGUUUGUUUUUGUGUUGUCCAUUUGUGAGAGUUGCUUUGGAAUGGUCGGUGUUGAGCUUGA